rnacentral:lncRNA from 1 species
GGAAGGAGGGGAGGUCGGUGGCUGGGCCCGCCUGCCCGAGAGUGGGGGGCAGGAGCACAAAGCAUUGCCUUUGCACAGGACGGCAACGUCCACUUUCAGGACCUUGUGCAGCACGUGGCAGAACUUCCAGCUGAGGAUGGAGCUGCUGGGCAGCGGCAGGCCAAUGGCGUAGGACCAGAAGGAGGCCCUGUUCCUGGUCCUGACCCAGCUUCCGCCCCGCUCAGGAGGAUGUGGCCACAGGGACCCUCGCGCCCCACUGAGCCUAAACACAGACCGACCCGGCUCCCACCUCUCACAGAGCCACCUGUCCCGUGUCUGCCGAGCCCACGCUGCGUGACACCCCAGGUCCCAGCAGCCCCAGAAGACCAAACCUGCAGCGGGAGAUCUUCCACCAUAGGCGUAUGGCCACCCCAGGCCAGUCUCGGGGCGGCGCCCCAGAAAUGGAUAUGAUGCCCGCCUUUCAGUACUGAGGAAUGAAUUCAGGGCCUUUCCACCGAGCCACUUCCUCAGCCAUUUUUUAUUUUGAGACAGGGUCUCACUAAGUCGCUGUUAAAUUGCUC